rnacentral:rRNA from 1 species
ACUCCUACGGGAGGCAGCAGUGGGGAAUCUUGGACAAUGGGCGCAAGCCUGAUCCAGCCAUGCCGCGUGAGUGAUGAAGGCCUUAGGGUCGUAAAGCUCUUUCGCCAGGGAUGAUAAUGACAGUACCUGGUAAAGAAACCCCGGCUAACUCCGUGCCAGCAGCCGCGGUAAUACGGAGGGGGUUAGCGUUGUUCGGAAUUACUGGGGCGUAAAGCGCGCGUAGGCGGGGUUGUUAAGUUAGAGGUGAAAUCCCGGGGGCUCAACCCCGGAACUGCCUUUAAUACUGGCAACCUAGAGUUCGAGAGAGGUGAGUGGAAUUCCGAGUGUAGAGGUGAAAUUCGUAGAUAUUCGGAGGAACACCAGUGGCGAAGGCGGCUCACUGGCUCGAUACUGACGCUGAGGUGCGAAAGUGUGGGGAGCAAACAGGAUUAGAUACCCUGGUAGCGACUGA